rnacentral:rRNA from 1 species
ACGAACCGUGCGAACGUUGUUCGGAAUCACUGGGCUUAAAGGGCGCGUAGGCGGGCUAUCAAGUCCGGGGUGAAAUCCUCCAGCUUAACUGGAGAACUGCCUCGGAUACUGAUGGUCUCGAGGAGGAUAGGGGCACACGGAACUGUGGGUGGAGCGGUGAAAUGCGUUGAUAUCCAUAGGAACUCCGGUGGCGAAAGCGGUGUGCUGGAUCCUUUCUGACGCUGAGGCGCGAAAGCCAGGGGAGCAAACGGGA